rnacentral:rRNA from 1 species
CUGCCCUUUGGCCUGGAAUAACACGAGGAAACUUGUGCUAAUACCGGAUAAGUCUUUACGGAGAAAGCUUUAUGCACCAUUGGAUGAGCCUGCACUUGAUUAGUUUGUUGGUGGGGUAAUGGCCUACCAAGACUGUGAUCAAUAGCUGAUUUGAGAGGAUGAUCAGCCACAUUGGGACUGAGACACGGCCCAAACUCCUACGGGAGGCAGCAGUGGGGAAUCUUGCACAAUGGAGGAAACUCUGAUGCAGCGAUGCCGCGUGAGUGAAGAAGGCCCUUGGGUUGUAAAGCUCUUUCGUCGGGGAAGAAAAUGACUGUACCCGAAUAAGAAGGUCCGG